ACAAACCUAUUCCUUUUGUGUGCUCUGUAGUCUUCUUUUAGUUCUUAAAUAUGGUUUUAUUCUUCUGGUACUAAGGGUCUCGGCACUGGUAUUUUUGUUCCGGUAUGUGUGUCAUCAGCAGAGUUAUUAGCUGUGUUCCAGUUGCAUGGUCCUUUGUUGCUGGAUUGAAAAGCUCUACUAACUUCAACCGUGUGUUUUUAGACUAGAUACUUACAGAAAGCCUUUACUGUGUUUAUAGAAGAGCAGAUUUAAUCUGGAAGUCAUUGAGAGAAACCAAUAAAGAACUUCCUUGAUGUGAUUUUUGGAGCUACUCUGUGGAACUGAAUUACAUGUUUUCAGAACUGCAGUAACUGGAAGGAAAGAAAAUACUGGAAAGUGUUUCUGUAAUUGGAGCAGGGUUUGGCAGGGACUUCUGCCUUUCUGGAAAAGAAAUGCUGAUUUUGGCUCUUCACUUUGCCAUCCCUUUUUUCUGCUGUUGUGUACUGGAAUAAAAGAAUAAAGUUGAAUGAAAAGUGUGUGUCUUUUGAAGAACAGUGACUGAAAGAAAUAUUGAUGACUGCCAGGGCAUCUACGGAAAAGUAUAAGAAAAUU